rnacentral:rRNA from 1 species
UACGUAGGGGUCCGAGCGUUGUCCGGAAUUACUGGGCGUAAAGAGCUCGUAGGUGGUUUGUCGCGUUGUCCGUGAAAACUCACAGCUUAACUGUGGGCGUGCGGGCGAUACGGGCAGACUGGAGUACUGCAGGGGAGACUGGAAUUCCUGGUGUAGCGGUGGAAUGCGCAGAUAUCAGGAGGAACACCGGUGGGCGAAGGC